rnacentral:rRNA from 1 species
CCUACGGGGGGCUGCAGUGGGGAAUAUUGCGCAAUGGGCGAAAGCCUGACGCAGCGACGCCGCGUGAGGGAUGAAGGUCUUCGGAUCGUAAACCUCUGUCAGCAGGGAGGAACGGUCACUGUGCUAAUCAGCAGUGAAUUGACGGUACCUGCAAAGGAAGCACCGGCUAACUCCGUGCCAGCAGCCGCGGUAAGACGGAGGGGGCGAGCGUUAAUCGGAAUUACGGGGCGGAAAGCGCGCGUAGGCGGUAUGUCAAGUCAAGGGUGAAAUCCCCGCGCUCAACGUGGGAACUGCCUGUGACACUGUCAAACUGGAGUGUGUGAGAUGCUAGUGGAAUUCCAGGUGUAGGCG